rnacentral:rRNA from 1 species
AUAGCGAUACACACGUGAGAAACGUGUGCGCCGAUUGACUAAGGGUUCCUGGUCAAGCUGAUCUGCCCAGGGUAAGUCGGGACCUAAGGCGAGGCCGACAGGCGUAGUCGAUGGAUAACCGGUUGAUAUUCCGGUACCCGCUGUGAAGCGUCAAACAUUGAAUCAGGCGAUGCUAAGUCCGUGAAGCCGUUCCGGACCCUUCGGGGAAAGGAAAGUGGUGGAGCCGACGGACCAGACUUGUAGUAGGUGAGUGAUGGGGUGACGCAGGAAGGUAGUCCAGCCCGGGCGGUGGUUGUCCCGGGGUAAGGGUGUAGGCCGUGCGAUAGGUAAAUCCGUCGCACAUUAAGGCUGAGACCUGAUGCCGAGCCGAUUGUGGUGAAGUGGAUGAUCCUAUGCUGUCGAGAAAAGCCUCUAGCGAGUUUCAUGGCGGCCCGUACCCUAAACCGACUCAGGUGGUCAGGUAGAGAAUACCGAGGCGUUCGGGUGAACUAUGGUUAAGGAACUCGGCAAAAUGCCCCGUAACUUCGGGAGAAGGGGGCCAUCACUGGUGAGAGGACUUGCUCCUCGAGCUGGGGGUGGCCGCAGAGACCAGCGAGAAGCGACUGUUUACUAAAAACACAGGUCCGUGCGAAGCCGUAAGGCGAUGUAUACGGACUGACGCCUGCCCGGUGCUGGAACGUUAAGGGGACCGGUUAGUGCACUUUCGGGUGUGCGAAGCUGAGAACUUAAGCGCCAGUAAACGGCGGUGGUAACUAUAACCAUCCUAAGGUAGCGAAAUUCCUUGUCGGGUAAGUUCCGACCUGCACGAAUGGCGUAACGACUUCUCGACUGUCUCAACCAUAGGCCCGGUGAAAUUGCACUACGAGUAAAGAUGCUCGUUUCGCGCAGCAGGACGGAAAGACCCCGGGACCUUUACUACAGUUUGAUAUUGGUGUUCGGUUCGGCUUGUGUAGGAUAGGUGGGAGACUUUGAACUCUGGACGCCAGUUCAGGGGGAGUCGUCGUUGAAAUACCACUCUGGUCGUGCUGGAUGUCUAACCUGGGUCCGUGAUCCGGAUCAGGGACAGUGUCUGAUGGGUAGUUUAACUGGGGCGGUUGCCUCCUAAAGAGUAACGGAGGCGCCCAAAGGUUCCCUCAGCCUGGUUGGUAAUCAGGUGUUGAGUGUAAGUGCACAAGGGAGCUUGACUGUGAGACCGACGGGUCGAGCAGGGACGAAAGUCGGGACUAGUGAUCCGGCGGUGGCUUGUGGAAGCGCCGUCGCUCAACGGAUAAAAGGUACCCCGGGGAUAACAGGCUGAUCUUCCCCAAGAGUCCAUAUCGACGGGAUGGUUUGGCACCUCGAUGUCGGCUCGUCGCAUCCUGGGGCUGGAGUCGGUCCCAAGGGUUGGGCUGUUCGCCCAUUAAAGCGGUACGCGAGCUGGGUUUAGAACGUCGUGAGACAGUUCGGUCCCUAUCCGCUGUGCGCGUAGGAAUAUUGAGAAGGGCUGUCCCUAGUACGAGAGGACCGGGACGGACGAACCUCUGGUGUGCCAGUUGUCCUGCCAAGGGCAUGGCUGGUUGGCUACGUUCGGAAAGGAUAACCGCUGAAAGCAUCUAAGCGGGAAGCCUGCUUCGAGAUGAGUAUUCCCACCCCCUUGAGGGGUUAAGGCUCCCAGUAGACGACUGGGUUGAUAGGCCAGAUCUGGAAGCCCGGUAACGGGUGGAGGUGACUGGUACUAAUAGGCCGAGGGCUUGUCCUC